GGAGUCGCUAGUAAUCGCGGAUCAGCAACGCCGCGGUGAAUGCGUCCCGGGCCUUGUACACACCGCCCGUCAAGUCAUGAAAGUGGGCAGCACCCGAAGACGGUGGCCUAACCCUUGUGGGGGGGAGCCGUCUAAGGUGAGGCUCGUGAUUGGGACUAAGUCGUAACAAGGUAGC
rnacentral:rRNA from 1 species